GUGAGUCAUCGAAUCUUUGAACGCAUCUUGCGCUCUCUGGUAUUCCGGAGAGCAUGCCUGUUUGAGUGUCAUGAACUCUUCAGCCACCAGUUUGUGUGGCUUGGAUUCUGGACGGUGCGUGUGCCCCAGCCGCGCUCCGUUUGUAAUACAUUAGUCAUUUCUAAUUCGGCCCGGUACUGACUCAGUGUAAUAGACUAUAUCGCUGAGGACAUUGCCUGCAAUGGCCGGGCCAGAUUACUAGUCCAAUGCUCCAAACACCCAGUCACCUACCAUUUCAGACCUCAGAUCAGGCAGGAUUACCCGUCUGAACUUAAGCAUAUCAAUAAGCGGAGG
rnacentral:rRNA from 1 species